rnacentral:tRNA from 1 species
GAGUUAGUAACUUAAUUGGUAGAGAACUUUCUUGUCGAGAAAGAUGAUGCCGGAUCGAAGCCGGCCUAACUCG